AAUGGAGGGACGCCACCAGCACGCGGAGGGGAGCCAUGCAGAUGAGGCUGCGGUGCACCUGGGAUUCAGCCACCUUCGUUCCUUUUACUGCUGAGUGUCCAUCACGUGCUGCUCAUGCAGAAGUGCUCAAGUUCGCUGUAAACGUAGUUUUCAUUUCUCCCGGGUGGAGACCUCCAUAAGUAGGUAGGUUGGUGGAAUGUUUCACUGCAUGAGAGUCUGCCAGGAAGUUUUGCAGUGUGGUCCCGUCUUGUUCUUCCCGCAGAGGGUGAUAGCUCUGCUGACUCCCAGCCCUCACAGGCUCUAGGGAUUGAGCCUGUUUCUGUGGAACGCCUUCCAUGGUCUGCGAGGUGCACAGAGGGGUCUCAAAAAGCUUCCAGGUUGCAUCUUCCCAUGGACUGAUGCUGAGCGUGUUCUCAUCUCCCAUCCGGAUGUUUUCUUUGGUUGGAGUGCAACGGCGCGAUCUUGGCUCACUGCAACCUCCCCCCAC
rnacentral:lncRNA from 1 species